UUUCUGUAGAAAAAUCCAUCUGCCCUCACUGCAGGUUCAUCAUUACAGAAAUCACUGUUUAGAUCAAGCCAAGAGACAGACAAGUCAUUACUGCUUCCUCUCUGUAUCGUUUUAUAAGUACAUACCUCUCUCUCUUCACCUGGGAAGGACACACACACACACACACACACAAUUUAUCCUAGGAGCUUUCCCUAAUCCUCACUACAAAAUACAAAGUCUGGAGAAGAAAAGUCUGUCAAACUGGUAGAAGAGCCAUAAGAUCUUACUACAUUCACUUAUUUAUAGCUGGUUCCCACUCCUUUAAUGAUCAUCACAAAGUCAUCUUUAGGCCUAACUCUCUUAUUUCUAACACAGGUUGAGCAGAUUUUCUUUAUUUUAGUUCCAAAGAAACAGGUAGUAUUUACCUGGCUUCAGGAUUUGAAGGAAUGUUUUUUUCUGUGAAUGUUUUCAUUAUUUCCAAAAUAAAGGGACAAAUAAACUAGGGGAGGAAACAGCAUGGAAAACCCUUAUAAGUGAUAAAAAUUAAUUCGGUCCUUCUGGACUAAAGUUCAAAUCUAAGCACUAAUCAUUGUAUUGUUAAGUAAAUGUCUGAACUCUAUUAUUACUGGGUAAACUUCUCUAAUGUAGCUUUUAGAUUUUCCUCUACAUGAAAUUAUAUGGAGAUGAAAGUGUUAACCAAAUUUAGUAUUAGAAACAAAGAUGAAUUUUAACUAAUCCAUAUAUAAGGAAAGGUUACAGAAAUGUCACUUAUCAAACAGUGCCAAAGGGCACUUCUGCAUAAACUAGAUAAAGGCCACAGGCUCUAUUCUCCUCCUCACUUAGGGGGCUGUCACACUCUCCCACUUCUCAAUCAAGGGACUAUAAGGGAUCACCUGAGUAAUAGAAAACCUACACUUCUGCAUAAACUAGAUAAAGGCCACAGGCUCUAUUCUCCUCCUCACUUAGGGGGCUGUCACACUCUCCCACUUCUCAGUCAAGGGACUAUAAGGGAUCACCUGAGUAAUAGAAAACCUACAGCUUCCAACUUCCAA
rnacentral:lncRNA from 1 species